AUUGAACGCUGGCGGCAGGCCUAACACAUGCAAGUCGAGCGGAGCGGCGGACGGGUGAGGAAUACCUAGGAAUCUGCCUGGUAGUGAGGGAUAACGGCAGGAAACGGGCGCUGAUACCGCAUACUAUCAGAUGAGCCUAAGUCGGAUUGGCUCGUGGGUGGGGUAAAGGCAUACCAAGGCGAAGAUCCGUAACGGGUCUGAGAGGAUGAUCAGUCACACUGGAACUGAGACACGGUCCAGACUCCUACGGGAGGCAGCAGUGGGGAAUAUUGGACAAUGGGCGAAAGCCUGAUCCAGCCAUGCCGCGUGUGUGAAGAAGGUCUUCGGAUUGUAAAGCACUUUAAGCUGGGAGGCGUUACCCACAGAAUAAGCACCGGCUAACUUCGUGCCAGCAGCCGCGGUAAUAC
rnacentral:rRNA from 1 species